rnacentral:rRNA from 1 species
UACGGAAGGUGCGAGCGUUAAUCGGAAUUACUGGGCGUAAAGCGCGCGUAGGCGGCUUGGUAAGUCGGGUGUGAAAGCCCCGGGCUCAACCUGGGAAUUGCAUUCGAUACUGCUGGGCUGGAGUACGAGAGAGGGGGGUGGAAUUCCAGGUGUAGCGGUGAAAUGCGUAGAUAUCUGGAGGAACACCGGUGGCGAAGGCGACCCCCUGGUUCGAUACUGACGCUGAGGUGCGAAAGCGUGGGGAGCAAACAGG